AGCAAACGCUGGCGGCGUGCCUAAUACAUGCAAGUCGAACGAGGAAAGCUUUCGGGUGAGUACUAGUGGCGCACGGGUGAGUAACGCGUGGGUAAUCUACCAUCGAGUGGGGAAUAACUAAUCGAAAGAUUAGCUAAUACCGCAUAAGACCACAGAAGCUACGGCUUCAGAGGUCAAAGGAGCAAUUCGCUUGAUGAUGAGCCCGCGUCGGAUUAGCUAGUUGGUAGGGUAAUGGCCUACCAAGGCAGUGAUCCGUAGCUGGUCUGAGAGGAUGAUCAGCCACACUGGAACUGAGACACGGUCCAGACUCCUACGGGAGGCAGCAGUAGGGAAUAUUGCGCAAUGGGGGAAACCCUGACGCAGCGACGCCGCGUGAGUGAUGAAGGCCUCGGUCGUAAGACUCUGUUGUCGAAGGGAAGUAAGAAAGUAGAAUAGUA
rnacentral:rRNA from 1 species